UACAGAGGUCUCAAGCGUUGUUCGGAUUCAUUGGGCGUAAAGGGUGCGUAGGUGGCGCUGUAAGUCGGGUGUGAAAUUUCGGAGCUUAACUCCGAAACUGCAUUCGAUACUGCGGUGCUUGAGGACUGGAGAGGAGACUGGAAUUCAUGGUGUAGCAGUGAAAUGCGUAGAGAUCAUGAGGAAGACCAGUGGCGAAGGCGGCUCACUGGCCCGUUACUGACGCUGAGGCACGAAAGCGUGGGGAGCAAACAGG
rnacentral:rRNA from 1 species